rnacentral:rRNA from 1 species
AUUGAACGCUGGCGGCAGGCCUAACACAUGCAAGUCGAACGAGUGGCGGACGGGUGAGUAAUGUCUGGGAAACCGCCCGACGGAGGGGGAUAACUACUGGAAACGGUAGCUAAUACCGCAUACCAUCUGAUGUGCCCAGAUGGGAUUAGCGAGUAGGUGGGGUAACGGCUCACCUAGGCGACGAUCCCUAGCUGGUCUGAGAGGAUGACCAGGCACACUGGAACUGAGACACGGUCCAGACUCCUACGGGAGGCAGCAGUGGGGAAUAUUGCACAAUGGGCGCAAUCCUGAUGCAGCCAUGCCGCGUGUAUGAAGAAGGCCUUCGGGUUGUAAAGUACUUUCAGUGAGGAGGCGUUACUCGCAGAAGAAGCACCGGCUAACUCCGUGCCAGCAGCCGCGGUAAUAC